rnacentral:rRNA from 1 species
GAUGAACGCUGGCGGCGUGCCUAAAACAUGCAAGUCGUGCGGUAACAGGGAGAGCUUGCUCUCUGCUGACGAGCGGCGGACGGCUGAGUAACGCGUAGGAACGUACCCCGAAGUGAGGAAUAACUGCCCGAAAGGGUGGCUAAUGCCGCAUGUGCUCUAUGGAGUAAAGCUUCGGCGCUUUGGGAGCGGCCUGCGUCUGAUUAGUUUGUUGGUGAGGUAAUGGCUCACCAAGACUACGAUCGGUAGCUGGUCUGAGAGGAUGAUCAGCCAGACUGGGACUGAGACACGGCCCAGACUCCUACGGGAGGCAGCAGUUAGGAAUUUUCCACAAUGGGGGCAACCCUGAUGGAGCAACGCCGCGUGCAGGAUGAAGGCCUUCGGGUUGUAAACUGCUUUUAUAUGUGACGAUUAUGACGGUAGCAUAUGAAUAAGGAUCGGCUAACUCCGUGCCAGCAGCCGCCGUAAAAC